GCCUACAUCCAUGCUACCCUGAACAAGCCUGAUCCUGUCUGUUCUCGGAAGCUAAGCAGGGUCGGGCCUGGUUAGUACUUGGAUGGGAGACUAUCUAGGAAGACCAAGUGCUGUAGGCG
rnacentral:rRNA from 1 species